AGAAGCCUCCCAAAAUUAAUGAGAAUGACAUCGGUACAUGAGAGAAUAUGCAGUGAGAUUGUAUGAUAUCAUGAAGAUAUCAUAACAAAAUACCACCAAUAUAGAGAUUAAAAAGAAUGCCUGGAUACUGGUGCGGAAUCAAUAGAAUUGGGAGAAGAUGGAGAAUGGGGAGCAUCUAUGGAUGCAAAGAGGCACUGAGUCUGCGCUUGGGAAGCUGAGUAAAUGGACUGUCUCUCAAUAAGAUCCAAAGAGAGAACAUUUGGUAACAAGUUUGAGGUUAGUUCACAUUUUCACAUGCUGUGACUUAAUCAUCACUGGAUUGUCAUGCAGAAAUGGUAUCUGGAUUUGAAUUUACAGACAUGGGAACUCAUUUGUGUUCAGGCUUUUAUGCUUGAUCAGUAUUUCUUCAAAUUUUACAUUUAUUUCUGUGGCCCCUUUGGGAAGACAUUGUGCUCAAGCAAAGGAUAGAUAAGAUACUGCAAAAUAUUUUGGGGUUUCUACUUUGCUGAGUAGCUUUCCCUCAGCUGAAUGUUGAUAUUCUUAAACAUAGUUCUUUCAUGUAAAUCUUUUCUACAUAUUGAAUGUAACUUGAAAUUACUGUAAAGUUCACAUCUUUGUAUAAAAGUCAUUUAAUUCAAUGGUUCUUGUUAUGCAAAUGUUUUUCAAAUCUGCUGUUCCUCUCUCUUCUGGAAGAAUUUUGUUGGUAAUUGUGCAUUGCACUCUCAGAACUCUGUAGCUUGCCCAAUAUUUUCCACACCUAUUUGAUCUGAAAGUUG
rnacentral:lncRNA from 1 species